rnacentral:hammerhead_ribozyme from 1 species
AUACGGUUGAUGAGUCCCAAAUAGGACGAAACGCAUGUCCUGGAU